GGCUCAAUGAUUAUAUUCCUUGCACAGGCUAUAUACGCUAUUCUCAUUAGUAUAUUAUCAAUAGGAUAAAACCUAAAUUCGUAUCAGAGCU